rnacentral:lncRNA from 1 species
UCGUGGCUUGCACGGCGCAGCUUUUGUCAUACAGAGUGUCUCUGCUCCAGCUGGGUCAAUCAAAGGUUGCUUUGUUUAUCUUGAAACAGUACUGUAUUUGCUAUAGCUGCAUUGAUCCCAGAAGAAUAUAUGGGAGAUAGCAGUUGAAUUCUUUGUUGUUGAUGUUUAUUGUUAUUAUUGUUUGUGAAUUCCUGUCUGUACAAAUGGAGAUGAAUUAUGGGAUUUUGUUUGUGUGGUACGCAUGUAUUAGGGUCAACUAAUGACCAUCUAGCAGAUGCAGGCCCACUAAGAAGACAAAGGAACGUGGUGCUUGAGCUGUAACUUUCUCACCAAAAAAAAUUCAGAUAAUUGCUGUAUUCAGCUCACCGAUGAUGUCUGAAGGAUAGUUUAUUUGCUUGGAUUUUUUUUUCAGAUUUGGAUUGGAUCAUGGAGAAAAACAAUCUGGAAAAUGGUAUCAGGUACUCCUUUUUUUUUCUUUGCGAAGUAUCAGGUACUCCUUCAAUCACACAUGGCCAACAUCCUAGACAAUCAUUGUGUGCAUAAAGCUGCUUUUACUUGGAAGGAAAGCUAAGCAAGCUUAUAGGAAAGGAGACCAAAUCCGAUUAAGGUAGGCCGCUAAAGAAAUGCAGUUCUAAUUUGCAAAAAAUAAAUAAAAUGCAGUUCUUUGAAGCUAUGAAAUGUUCAUUAAACACAAGGCAUUUUUUCUUUAACAAUUUCCAGCUUUAUUUUACCCCGAUAAUUGCAUUGUUGAGUGCAUCAUCUACAAUUUGUCUUGACAUCAUUAGAGAAAACUUAGUUUGUUUUCAACAUCUUGUGUGAUAUUUUCGUUGCGUAUGUCCAACCGAUCUGUUUCGCUAUCAUGAUCCAAGCCGACCUAAUCCACGAUCAUGACUGAAAUCAAAUCAACCUUUGCUCCAUGAGCCAUGUGUAACAUCACUGCUUUAUUAAUCACAUAGCUCGUAGUAUAUGAGUAUUUCCUUCAAAAGGGUCAUAUCUGAGAAGAUAGUUCACCUAAUCAGGAAAAAAGUUUCAAUUGCUUCACAUUUCCAGAUGCAUCCACAUUAGUUUCGAAAAAAAAAAGGGCCGGACGCAUCCAUGUUCCAAUGACAUUUAGAGUCACGUCCUAAUAAGUAUCACGUUACGAAAAACCUGGGCUGGGCCUUUGUUUUCCCAUUAGAUACAUUGUAAACGUAGUUUACUUCAGAAUUAUUAUUUAUGUGCCAUAUGCUGAAGAUUUAUCUAAGGAUUGGUUUCACUUCAAAUCUUUUAUGAUCUUAAUUUAAUUUGUACUGCAAGAAAAACAUCUAACGUGGAAGUUGAACUGCACUACACAAAUGUACACAAAGUGCUACUUUUUUUUUUCUGAAAAACAUCGACAAGGACCAUAUCAACUGGAUGCAAGAUUCAUGAAAUGUUGCAAGCUGCAACCCUUUUUUCCCUUGAAAGACACUCUAAAUGAGUGCAGCUUACCUAGUUCCUUUGAAUGGCUGGCCUCGGAGUGACCUCCGAGUUCUUCUUUCGCUUUCUCAAUAAGGCCUGAGCCCUUGUGCAAGAUCGUUUCGAUGCCUGACUUCACAUCUCCUUGAAGCUUCUCCGUCGCCGUCUCGGCAUCUGUCCAUCAACCCCAAAGGUCGUCAGGGAGCAGGAAAUAAUAUUAAAAGUACAUCGUGGUUACCUGUUUAUUAGCUACUAGCUAUUAGGAUUUAGGACAGCUAAUGUGGAAGUAAUAUGCAAGGCACGAUCUGGUAUCACAUUUUGAAUUCAGCUUGAAAGCUUCUGGGAAUUAGACGUUUCUUUGAAUUUCCAUAAUGUAGUAUAUCUAUCAAUUAUCAGAACCAGCAGUUCUAUUAUGUUGACUUUGACCGAAAAACGUGCAACAUAAAAAUGUAGCCUUUCAGGUCCAUAUCAAGGCAAUUUCAAAACCAUCUAUUUAGAAAAUUAAAAGUUUAUCUGCAGCUAUCAAUCAUCUACAGUAUUUGCCGUGUUAUUAUCUAACAAUGACAACUUGAACUCCAAACCAUUGGCUGCUUUUGUUGUGAUCAGAAGUGGGCAUGCUACCAGUAUCAUCCUAUCUUGUCACGUACUUAGAGAGAGGCUGAAGAACGCAAGGAGGAAUAGCUACCUCUGAAACUAAAUGGCAUUUCUGCACACAAAACUUAGGCAAAACAUGAAGGCAAAUAACUAACCGUUCUUGGCUGACUGGAGGCUUCCUGCAAGGGCAUCAAGCCCUCCCUUGGCACGAUCAAAAAGGUCAUUCUUCCCGCGGCUAUCUUUUCCCUUCUUCUGCGAUCCUUCAGAGUCCUUGACUUUCUUUGAGUUCUUCCGCUGAAAGAACAUCUUGUUCUGUUCCUCCUCUUACACUGCGAUAAUCAUAUACAUGCAAGGAAGAAGCUUAAGCAAUCUACCAUAGAAGAUUCAAGGAACCUAAAUGCAAACUUCAGCUAAUUUUGAGGAAGCAAUCUGCGAUGUCAGCAUCUUCUGCCUCAGAAGUUAUUCUGAAAAGCACGCAUGAUCCAGACAUCCAGUAAUUGUUUGCUUCAGCAAUCAGCACAGAAUAACACAGAAGUUAUUCUGGGACGGCAAUCAAACACGGCUGUUUCUAUGUAAUAACUUCGGAGUUCUGAACUUGUAAUUCAUGGUGUUUGGCACAAAGGGACAUGGUGAAUCAUGCAUGGCUUUCUAGAGCAUGAUACUGAUUGUCCAACCCUCGGGAUAUCAACCAGCUCAUUGCUACAGAAAUCCAAGAGAAAAAAUCCAAACAAAAUGUGACGAAGCUUGUUGGCAGUGAAGAGAAAAGACCAUACUUAGGCAAAAUAGCAGUAGGUGAGGAGAUCUAACGCAGUGAACAAGAACAACCUAUGCCAACUAACUUCUGAUUAACAAGAACAGCCUCCUUUAAGAAACUAUUGACAGCACCCAACAUCACCAUUCGAGUAAAAGAAAAGCAUAAGCGUGUAAAGCAUCGGAUAUGCACGCGUCUUACCGAUCUUCCUUGAACUGAUCAGGAAAUGGAGAGUUGUUGCAAAGGACAGAAGAAGAGAAGAAGAAGAGGACAGGCGUAUUCAGGAUCUCAGGGGGGACGUGUGUAACGUCGUGGUCCUCCUUUUAUGGAACCAUCUAUUAGUCGCUGCCCCAAUUAAAAUUAAGCAUGUCAAGUCGGCCUCCGGUAAGCCCAGCCCGCAACCAUUAGCCUCUGAUAAUCUUAUUCUUAUUCGAUUUUGCUUGUGUUUUUAACUAGGCAUUUGAUUUCUUUAUUGACCGAACAACAUGGAAACAAAACUAUCGGUUUCUGUCCUUCUGAUACGGCAGUAGACAACUAGACAUAUCUUCAUUCUUGGGUUUGACCUUAACCAGCGCAAUCAUGCUUCCCGGAGAGGAGGUUGUUGCAGAAAAGAAAGGUGAACACAUGGCAGGCAUGUAUACUACUAGAAUUGAGUAACUAGUUUUAUACUGUUAUACUGGAUCUGAAGUGUUACACAAGGAUAUUCUUUGGCCUAUCUUGUACGCUUUCUUUUGCUUCUUGCAUCAGCACACAAUUAACUAGCUUGGUCGUGACAGAUAUCCUGACACUACCAUGCAUGUUUCUGGAAGUUUGAUCUACCUUAAUUUUUCAGUCUCCUUACAUCACACAACUAAAUGAACUAAUGAUGCUCAGACAUGCCAGGGUAUUUAAAAUCAGCACUUUAUCUUUGAGAUGAGAGAUUUUCUUGAGAUCUAGGAGUAUGAGAGAAGAAGAUAAACUGGAUCAACUGAAUCCUUAAUGAAAUUUGUUUAUCUUUUUACAAGCUUGGUUUUAUGUUCAAAGCUUAAUUAUACGAUGGAUAAACUAUUUUAUAUUUUAACAUUUCUUUUAUGUCAUAUACAAUGCUGAAUGCCAUCAUCAAUUCAGUUGCAAUGAAGCGUUAAGGGGUGAGACUUUUCGCUUGGAUCAUCGAUCAAUUAGCUGGUGCUAGCUGCCUAGUGACGACGUUGCUUGACCACGUGGAUCGAUGGUUACAUGAACACGACCAUGAAUAGGGGUUAGCUGAUCCAUCUCCCUUCACGGCAUGACAGCAUCACUUAAAGCCCAACCGGAGGCGUCUUCACCGGCUCUCUCAGGCAUCGAAUUCAAUCAGCAGUUGCAGGCCAUCGAGGGCAUGUGGUUAUCUCUGCCCCCCUGAUGACCUGACCUCAAGGCACAUGAUCGCUCCGCUUUCCGGCCGUGGAUUUGCCGUGGCAGCUGACGCCAACGACAGGAAGGAGCAAAGCCUGCGUGGGAAGAAAAACCCAUGGGAUUUCAAUUUUGCACCUGAAGUGACCUCGAACUCAGCAGACAUGAUUAGCUAGGACGCUGCUGCACAUGAGGCUAGUUGAAGAUGAUGACGCAUGGUAAUUCAUUCCGUGAAGAGAUGACGAUCGAGCAUGUGUAGCCCUUGCACAUGAAGUUGAUAGUCACGACCGUUUGGCGAG